rnacentral:rRNA from 1 species
AUUGAACGCUGGCGGCAGGCCUAACACAUGCAAGUCGAGCGGAUGAAGGGAGCUUGCUCCUGGAUUCAGCGGCGGACGGGUGAGUAAUGCCUAGGAAUCUGCCUGGUAGUGGGGGAUAACGUCCGGAAACGGGCGCUAAUACCGCAUACGUCCUGAGGGAGAAAGUGGGGGAUCUUCGGACCUCACGCUAUCAGAUGAGCCUAGGUCGGAUUAGCUAGUUGGUGGGGUAAAGGCCUACCAAGGCGACGAUCCGUAACUGGUCUGAGAGGAUGAUCAGUCACACUGGAACUGAGACACGGUCCAGACUCCUACGGGAGGCAGCAGUGGGGAAUAUUGGACAAUGGGCGAAAGCCUGAUCCAGCCAUGCCGCGUGUGUGAAGAAGGUCUUCGGAUUGUAAAGCAAUUUAAGUUGGGAGGAAGGGCAGUAAGUUAAUACCUUGCUGUUUUGACGUUACCAACGGAAGAAGCACCGGCUAACUUCGU